AGCGUUGCGCUAUUAAUUGCAGGUAGCCUUUCGCGCGAAUGAAAUUCAUAGUUGUUGUUUGUUUUUUGGUGUUCCAUGUGCUAGUGCAGCAAAGCGCAUAUUGCAUAUUUGAUGUAGAUGUAAGAUAGGAAUCAAAUCUAAUCUAAAUUUCACUUCUUGGAUGUUUUUUACAUUUUUACUUACAUAAUUGUGUUUGCCGACGUAUUCUGACCUCAGUCCCAUUUGAAUAUAUGUUUAAUUUGAAGUUUAUACAUUUUGAGAAUAUAUAUGACUGAGUAGGCAAUUGAAAAGUAAAGUCCUCUCUCGACGAACCAAAAUCAAACUAUAUAAGUCGCUCAUUAUUCCCGUCCUGAUGUAUGGCGCUGAAGCGUGGACGAUGACAACAUCCGAUGAGACGACUCUUGGGGUUUUCGAGAGAAAGGUUUUGCGCAAGAUUUUUGGUCCUCUAAACAUUGGCAACGGCGAAUACCGCAGGCGAUGGAACGAUGAGCUGUACGAUUUAUACGACGACAUUGACAUAGUUCAGCGAAUAAAAAGACAGCGGCUACGCUGGCUAGGUCAUGUUGUACGGAUGGAAGAAAACACUCCAGCUCUGAAAGUAUUCGAUGCAGUACCCGCUGGAGGAAGCCGCGGAAGAGGACGACCUCCACUCCGGUGGAAAGACCAAGUGCAAAGUGACCUGGCUUCACUUGGUGUUUCCAAUUGCCGCCAAAAAGGAGGAAUGAGUGGCGCGCUCUGGUGGAUUCGGCUAUAAUCGCUUAAAGCGGUUCCUACGCCAAAUAUAUAUAUAUAUAUGACGCAGUAGCUCAGUGCAGAAGUAAGGACCUAGGAUCGGCCUCCUCUACUUAUAUAAACCAAUUAUGUAUCUAAAUAAGGAAUUUCUAAUAAAAGUUCCAGACUAAAUAUGAUACUUUAUAUAUGAGACGUUCACAAUUGAUGAAGAAAUUUGUUACUUCCACAGAGUCAGUUUCAUUGGUCAAAUCAUAUAUUGGUCCCAAAAAAUUUAAUUGGAAAGUCGAUCAGAUUAGGGGAAAUUUGGAUUAAAUUACGGUCAAAAUCUUGGUAGUUAAGUAGUAAGUGUGCAGUUGUCUCUACCGUAGUACAGCAGUUUUUGUAUCCUCUCAAAUAGUUUGGCUUCAGUGGAGUCGUGACAGUACUGAUUGUAUGGAUUUUACCUAACCCCGUGAUCCAAUAAGUCUCAUUAAAAGUCCAAGUGGGACUUCCGGUUCCCGGUCUAACUCAAGGGCGGAGAUAUUUUAUAGAAUGUGUAAUGAUGAGAUUCAUUGCUGCUGAUCUGGAACAUAUUGAACUUCCCUGAUGUAAUUUUAUAAAUGAAUAUUCCUUCAUUGGUCCAUCCGUUGUAUCCAAUUUGCGGUUACUCGUUCGAGGAUUUCGACUGGUAACUGGCGGAUGAUACGCGUAAUGUGUUGCUCCAAGGAAAAAGUCUAACGGUCUGAUAUCACACGAUCUUGGUGGUCAAUCGAUCAACCUAAAACGUGAAAUUAUCUGCUCAUCGAAGUGUUCUCUCAAUAAAUCCAUUGAUUGAUACGAUGUGUGAGUAGUGGCGCCGUCUGGUUGAAACUAAUAGUCGCAGGGAUCACGUGCUUAAUUCCAGACAUCAAAUAGUCAGCUUGACACGACUCAAGACCGUUUAUUUACCAGAGAGGAAGAUCUGUUUUUUAUAGAACUUGUGGAUUUUUGAGUAUACAAUUUUGGGGUUUAUGAAAUGAUACAUAUUACUUUUUUUAUAUUUGUUAAUAUACAUAUUU